CUUUUGUUUUCAUUUUUGUUUGCAAGUGUAGUACAUAGUAUAACUGUAUGGUAUUGCAAAAAAACAAUUUUUCAUUCAAAGUUUAAAAGGAAAUGGACCCCAAAAAAUCCUAACUUUUGUUUUCAUUUUUGUUUGCAAGUGUAGUACAUAGUAUAACUGUAUGGUAUUGCAAAAAAACAAUUUUUCAUUCAAAGUUUAAAAGGAAAUGGACCCCAAAAAAUCCUAACUUUUGUGCACUUCUUCAAUUUUUCCAAUCCUCUUAAUUUUAUCAACCGUAGACAUAAAUUUUAACAUUAGUGACUAUUAAAAAUCUUCAGGUUUAUUUCAUCACAACGUGAAAUACCCUGACAUAUUAACUACUAAACCAUCAGUCAACAACUCAACGUAUCACAUAUGAUAUCUCUAUGGAAAGUUGCUUAACCAAUUUAAAAUCCUUAAAAACCAUUUCUAUCAUUCACAAAGAAAGCCCCUCUCAAACAACAUUUUCAACAUUCAAUUUGACAGAAUAAACAUUCAUAGGUGCAAAUUGAAUAUUUAGAUUUUCCACCAUUAUUUUUCAAACAAUACCAUAGAAUUGAUGACCAUAAAAGCACAAUAAUAUUAUAAUGGUAAAGCUAGCAUAGAAGGAAUACCUUGCUAAGCAUUACAACGAGAAA
rnacentral:misc_RNA from 1 species